rnacentral:piRNA from 1 species
UCACAGCUCGCUAUGCUAGGCCUAGAG